UGAGCGUCACGUACAAAAAGCUCGACUGGAAAGUAUCCAUGCGGCCGCUACUGAUCGCAUUCGGUGUCGUUUUUAUUAUAGUUUGUGAAUUUUGUGUUUCCCCGCAGUUUUCGGUUGUUAGUGUGGAGGAAUCUUCGGGUCAUCAUAGCCUACUGGUAUUGGAGCCUUUUCAGUAAAGCUGAGAGGCUUCGAUGAUCCAGCGUCAUCAGGUUACGACUGGCCAAUGUUGGGUGAGUAUUCCAGAUGUAGUAUUAUGAAUAACUGAGGUUCAUUUAUCAUGGUGAGUUUUGAAUUUUAACGUGGUAGUUUAGUGAAAAUUUUGUAGCACUAAGUAUCCUGUAUUUUCAUGUUGUUUAAGGUUUUUGAAAAUGGGACUUUAGAAAAUAAUGGUAAGUCAAUUCUUAUACAAAUCGGUAGUAAUUUAAUAACCAUGUCUAAAAAGCAUAUAACCCGUACCUAAA